AUGGUCCUCCUGCGCUACGGCGUCACCUACCUCAUCCAGCAUCCACCACCACCCAACGCCGACAGCCACUACCAUGAGAUUGACACCCAUGUCGUCCUCGCCAUGUAUGCCACCCUUACAGAUCAGAUCAUCGACCAUGUGAUCGGUGCCACUACCACCCAUGCCCUCUGGACUCGGAUCCAGGACUACUUCCUUGCCAAUUGUGCGGCCCGCUACAUGAUCCUAAACCGGCAGUACCAAAACCUCAAGCAGGGUGACCUUUUCGUCGACGAGUACACGCGCCGUAUGAAGAUCAUCACCGCCGGUCUCGCGGACAUUGAUCAUGCCGUGACCGAGGUCGACCUCACCUCGCAGUUUCUCCACGGCCUCGACGGGCGCUUCGACACCAUCCGUGUGGUCCUGGGGGACACCAUUCCCUUGCCAUCCUUCGAGACUGUCUUCUCGCGC
rnacentral:rRNA from 1 species